UACGGGGGGGGCAAGCGUUGUUCGGAAUUACUGGGCGUAAAGGGCGCGUAGGCGGCCUGCUAAGUCGGACGUGAAAUCCCCCGGCUCAACCGGGGAACUGCGUCCGAUACUGGUGGGCUCGAAUCCGGGAGAGGGAUGUGGAAUUCCAGGUGUAGCGGUGAAAUGCGUAGAUAUCUGGAGGAAUACCGGUGGCGAAGGCGGCAUCCUGGACCGACAUUGACGCUGAGGAGCGAAAGCUAGGGGAGCAAACGGG
rnacentral:rRNA from 1 species